rnacentral:rRNA from 1 species
UUGUAGCGAAGUAGCUGAUUUCACACUGUCGAGAAAAGUCUCUAUCGAGGUUAAAGGUGCCUGUACCGCAAACCGACACAGGUGGGUGAGGAGAGUAUCCUAAGGCCAGCCAGAGAACUGUUGUUAAGGAACUCGGCAAAAUGACCCCGUAACUUAGGGAGAAGGGGUGCCUUCGAAAGAAGGCCGCAGAGAAUAGGCCCAAGCGACUGUUUACCAAAAACAUAGGUUUCUGCUAAGUCGCAAGACGAUGUAUAGGAGCUGACGCCUGCCCGGUGCUGGAAGGUUAAGGGGAUCUGUUAGGGUAACCGAAGCAGUGAACUUAAGCCCCAGUAAACGGCGGCCGUAACAAUAACGGUCCUAAGGUAGCGAAAUUCCUUGUCGGGUAAGUUCCGACCCGCACGAAAGGCGUAACGAUUUGGGCACUGUCUCAACAACAGACUGGGUGAAAUUGUAAUACCGGUGAAGAUGCCGGUUACCUGCGACAGGACGGAAAGACCCCAUGGAGCUUUACUGUAGCUUGACAUUGAGUCUCGGUGCUACAUGUACAGGAUAGGUGGGAGGCUAUGAAGCAUGAACGUCAGUUUGUGUGGAGCCAUCCUUGGGAUACCACCCUUGUAGUACUGGGAUUCUAACCAGCUGCCUUGAAUCAGGUAGUGGGACACUGUCAGGUGGACAGUUUGACUGGGGCGGUCGCCUCCUAAAGAGUAACGGAGGCGCUCAAAGGUUCUCUCAGUACGGUCGGAAAUCGUACGUAGAGUGUAAAGGCAGAAGAGAGCUUGAUUGCAAGACAUACAGGUCGAGCAAGGACGAAAGUCGGACUUAGUGAUCCGGUGGUACCGCAUGGAAGGGCCAUCGCUCAACGGAUAAAAGCUACCCUGGGGAUAACAGGCUGAUCUCCCCCAAGAGUCCACAUCGACGGGGAGGUUUGGCACCUGAUGUCGGCUCAUCACAUCCUGGGGCUGUAGUAGGUCCCAAGGGUUGGGCUGUUCGCCCAUUAAAGUGGUACGCGAGCUGGGUUCAGAACGUCGUGAGACAGUUCGGUCCCUAUCCGUCGCAGGCGUAGGAAAUUUGAGGAGACCUGUCCUUAGUACGAGAGGACCGGGAUGGACGUACCGCUGGUGUACCAGUUGUUCUGCCAAGGGCAUAGCUGGGUAGCUAAGUACGGAAAGGAUAAGCGCUGAAAGCAUCUAAGCGCGAAGCCUACUUCGAGAUAAGAUUUCCCACCGCAAGGUUAAGACCCCAUGAAGACUACAUGGUUGAUAGGUCAGAGGUGGAAGUGUGGUAACAUAUGUAGCUUACUGAUACUAAUAGGUCGAGAACUUGAUC